rnacentral:snRNA from 1 species
GUGCUCAUUAGCAGCACAUAAACUAAAACUGGAAUAGAGAAGGUUAGCAUGGCCCCCCGUCAAGGAAAACACACAAAGCUGUGAAGUGUUCCAUGUUUAA